UGAUAGCUCAGUUGGAAGAGCAUGAGACUUUUAAUCUCAGGGUCAUGGGUUUGAGUCCCAUAUUGGGCAAAA